CGGGGCGUAGCGCAGUUUGGUAGCGCGCAGCGUUCGGGACGCUGAGGCCGGCGGUUCGAGUCCGCCCGCCCCGA
rnacentral:tRNA from 1 species